AUCGCUUCUCGGCCUUUUGGCUAAGAUCAAGUGUAAACUAGCAAAAAGAUUUUAAUGAUACUGCCC
rnacentral:sRNA from 1 species